rnacentral:rRNA from 1 species
GCUUGUCUCAAAGAUUAAGCCAUGCAUGUCUAAGUAUAAGCAACCUUAUACAGCGAAACUGCGUACAGCUCAUUAUAUCAGCAAUUAUUUAUUUGAAGAUCACCUAUUACAUGGAUAACCGUGGUAAUUCUAGAGCUAAUACAUGCGAAAAGACGGGCCGCAAGGCUUGUUGUAUUUAUUAGAUAAAGCCAACGCUGGGUAAAACCAGUUUCCCUUGGUGAUUCAUAAUAAUUAAGCGGAUCGCAUGGCCUUGUGCUAGCGACAGUCCACUCGAUUUUCUGCCCUAUCAUGGUUGAGAUUGUAAGAUAGAGGCUUACAAUGCCUACAACGGGUAACGGGGAAUUAGGGUUCGAUUCCGGAGAGGGAGCCUGAGAAACGGCUACCACAUCCAAGGAAGGCAGCAGG